GAUGAACGCUGGCGGCGUGCCUAAUACAUGCAAGUCGAGCGAACGGACGCGAAGCUUGCUUCUCUGAUGUUAGCGGCAGACGGGUGAGUAACACGUGGAUACCCUACCUAUCAGACUGGGAUCACUUCGGGACACCGUCGCUUAUACCGGAUAAUAUUUUGAACCGCAUGGUUCAAUAGUGAAAGACGGUCUUGCUGUCACUUAUAGCUGGAUCCGCGCUGCAUUAGCUAGUUGGUACGGUAACGGCUUACCAAGGCAACGAUGCAUAGACGACCUGAGAGGCGGAUCGGCCACACGGGAAGUGAGACACGGUCCAGACGCCUGCGGGAGGCAGCAGUAGGGAAUCGGCCGCAAUGGGCGGAAGCCUGACGGAGCAACGCCGAGUGAGUGAUGAAGGUCUUCGGAUCGUAAAACUCGGUUAUUAGGGAAGAACAGAUGUGUAAGUAACUGUGCACAGAGUGACGGUACCUAAUAAGAAAGCAACGGCUAACUACGUG
rnacentral:rRNA from 1 species